UACAGAGGUCUCAAGCGUUGUUCGGAUUCAUUGGGCGUAAAGGGUGCGUAGGCGGCGCGGUAAGUCGGGUGUGAAAUCUCGGAGCUUAACUCCGAAACUGCAUUCGAUACUGCCGUGCUUGAGGACUGGAGAGGAGACUGGAAUUUACGGUGUAGCGGUGAAAUGCGUAGAGAUCAGCAGGAACACCCGUGGCGAAGGCGGCCCCCUGGG
rnacentral:rRNA from 1 species